UUCCUUGCCUUAUACAACUGGAAUAAACCCACUCCAAUUGUCUUCAGGCCAGUUACAUUCUCCAAAAGCAGCGCAUGGCUUUCCUCUGCUUCGCGGUAUCUGGUGUGAGGGGUUGAAGAUUCAAAGAGAAGCUGUAGCAGAGCAGUGAGAGAUGGGGCACGCCUACUGAAAUCACUCAACCAAUUGAAGAAACAGAAUGAGAUUUGGAUUAUAGGGUUUCAGAUAAUACCAAGUCCCUUGUGAAAGCUCUUUGACUCUUGAUGACUUGAGUCCAAGUCCCAAACGGACUUCUGAUCAGCAGGGUAGCUGAUUUCAGCAUAACGAGAGAGAGAAAAUGUGUAAACUUGGUGAAGUGCUCCACAAGCUCCAGCUUGCAAACCUCACGGAGACUGCAGCCCAUCCAGCUCACAGACUCUCACCUAAUACAACAUGCGCUGAGGAAACUAAGGCACAGAAAUGUGCUGCCUGAUUUGUCUUUAUGAAAAAUCCAAAGGAGAGCAAAUUAGUAUGUGAAAAAUUUUGAAUUUCUAGCAUUUCCAAGGUCCUUUCACUUGUCAUGGAUGCAGCUUUGAAAGAAACAUAAUGGACAAAAGGCAUGCCUUUUUAAGCUGUAAGACCUUUAAAAUUUCUGUA